AGUGAACGCUGGCGGUAGGCCUAACGCACGCAAGUCGAACGGCAGCACAGGAGAGCUUGCUCUCUGGGUGGCGAGUGGCGGACGGGUGAGGAAUUCAUCGGAAUCUACUCUGUCGUGGGGGAUAACGUAGGGAAACUUACGCUAAUACCGCAUACGACCUACGGGUGAAAGCAGGGGACCUUCGGGCCUUGCGCGAUUGAAUGAGCCGAUGUCGGAUUAGCUAGUUGGCGGGGUAAAGGCCCACCAAGGCGACGAUCCGUAGCUGGUCUGAGAGGAUGAUCAGCCACACUGGAACUGAGACACGGUCCAGACUCCUACGGGAGGCAGCAGUGGGGAAUAUUGGACAAUGGGCGCAAGCCUGAUCCAGCCAUACCGCGUGGGUGAAGAAGGCCUUCGGGUUGUAAAGCCCUUUUGUUGGGAAAGAAAUCCAGCUGGCUAAUACCCGGUUGGGAUGACGGUACCCAAAGAAUAAGCACCGGCUAACUUCGUGCCAGCCGCCGCGGUAA
rnacentral:rRNA from 1 species